AGCGAACGCUGGCGGCAGGCCUAACACAUGCAAGUCGAACGAAGUCUUCGGACUUAGUGGCGGACGGGUGAGUAACACGCGGGAACGUGCCUUUAGGUUCGGAAUAACUCAGGGAAACUUGUGCUAAUACCGAAUGUGCCCUUCGGGGGAAAGCUUUAUCGCCUUUAGAGCGGCCCGCGUCUGAUUAGCUAGUUGGUGAGGUAAAGGCUCACCAAGGCUACGAUCAGUAGCUGGUCUGAGAGGAUGACCAGCCACAUUGGGACUGAGACACGGCCCAAACUCCUACGGGAGGCAGCAGUGGGGAAUCUUGCGCAAUGGGCGAAAGCCUGACGCAGCCAUGCCGCGUGGAUGAUGAAGGUCUUAGGACUGUAAAAUCCUUUCACCGGUGAAGAUAAUGACUGUAGCCGGAGAAGAAGCCCCGGCUAACUUCGUGCCAGCAGCCGCCGCAGUAA
rnacentral:rRNA from 1 species